CGUGUAGGCGGUUUUAUAAGUUAGAUGCUAAAUCCCUCGGCUUAACCAAGGUAUCGCAUUUAAUACUGUAGAACUAGAGUACAGCAGAGGAGAAUGGAAUUUCCAGUGUAGCGGUGAAAUGCGUAGAUAUUGGAAGGAACACCUGUGGCGAAGGCGAUUCUCUGGGCUGAUACUGACGCUGAGGCGCGAAAGCCAGGGUAGCAAACG
rnacentral:rRNA from 1 species